GUUUCUACAAUGGCUGUUGCAUUUAUACCCUGCACACUCUCCCAGGCACUGGCCCUCCGGCGGAGGUGAGAGGUCCUCUGGCACAAAGGAAGACAGGACGCUGAAGAGCGCGUCGUCCUAGAUGAUUUCUCCGCUCCCCAAAGCCCUAGGAGGGAAGGAC